AGAGUUUGAUCCUGGCUCAGAAUCAACGCUGGCGGCGUGCCUCAGACAUGCAAGUCGAACGAUUAAACUUUCCUUCGGGAAAGAUAUAAAGUGGCGCACGGGUGAGUAACACGUAGGUAAUGUACCUUUGGGUGGGGAAUAACUUAGGGAAACUUAAGCUAAUACCGCAUAAUGCAGCGGCUCCUUCGGGAGACAGUUGUUAAAGAUUUAUCGCCUAAAGAGCAGCCUGCGGCGGAUUAGCUAGUUGGUAAGGUAACGGCUUACCAAGGCUACGAUCUGUAUCCGACCUGAGAGGGUGGUCGGACACACUGACACUGAAUAACGGGUCAGACUCCUACGGGAGGCAGCAGUCGGGAAUUUUGGGCAAUGGGCGAAAGCCUGACCCAGCAACGCCGCGUGAAGGAUGAAGUCUCUCGGGAUGUAAACUUCGUAAGAAUAGGAAGAAUAAAUGACGGUACUAUUUGUAAGGUCCGGCUAACUACGUGCCAGCAGCCGCGGUAAUACGUAGGGACCAAGCGUUGUUCGGAUUUACUGGGCGUAAAGGGCGCGUAGGCGGCAAUUCAAGUCAGUUGUGAAAUCUCCGAGCUUAACUCGGAACGGUCAACUGAUACUGCUUUGCUAGAGUACAGAAGGGGCAAUCGGAAUUCUUGGUGUAGCGGUGAAAUGCGUAGAUAUCAAGAGGAACACCUGAGGUGAAGACGGGUUGCUGGGCUGAUACUGACGCUGAGGCGCGAAAGCUAGGGUAGCAAACGGGAUUAGAUACCCCGGUAGUCCUAGCCCUAAACGAUGAAUACUUGGUGUCUGGAGUUUUAUUCUCCGGGUGCCGUCGCUAACGUUCUUAGUAUUCCGCCUGGGGGAGUACGCACGCAAGUGUGAAACUCAAAGGAAUUUGACGG
rnacentral:rRNA from 1 species